CAGUAUUUACUAAAAUGAGUGCAGUUGAACAUCAAAACUUGAAAAGAAUUGAUAAUGUCUUAUUCAGGUAUCCAUGAUUAUAAGGAUACUCCUGUUUACAGCCAUAAAUAGUACUUAGUAUGGUAUGGAUAACUUGAAUGUCUUUGGUUUGACCUUGCACUGACAGAAUCAUUAUCUACACUAGGUGAUGUCGGUAAAUUACUGUCCAGAAAUACAUGUACAGUCACCCUUGGGACCAGAGAAAACUGACCUUAUAAGAGAGCCAUUGAAUUGAGGCUCAAAAUGUAUCUGUAUUAGUACAGUGGAAUGAGAUGGGUUUUUGCUGAAUAGAGGUGACCUUCAUUGCAGUUGAUCUGAAAUCUGUCCAUUACCAGAUCUUGGUCGAUUUUUAAUCAAGUCAGGCUGAAGCCCAUCAACAGUACCGAGUGUGAGUCGACGAGGCUGUUUUUGAAUUUCUUGAAGUCGUACAUCUGCUUGAGG